UACGAAGGGGGCUAGCGUUGUUCGGAAUUACUGGGCGUAAAGCGCACGUAGGCGGAUAUUUAAGUCAGGGGUGAAAUCCCAGAGCUCAACUCUGGAACUGCCUUUGAUACUGGGUAUCUUGAGUAUGGAAGAGGUGAGUGGAAUUCCGAGUGUAGAGGUGAAAUUCGUAGAUAUUCGGAGGAACACCAGUGGCGAAGGCGGCUCACUGGUCCAUUACUGACGCUGAGGUGCGAAAGCGUGGGGAGCAAACAG
rnacentral:rRNA from 1 species